AUACCUUUCUCGGCCUUUCGGCUAAGAUCAAGUAUAUGUUCUUAUCAGUUUAAUAUCUGAUACGUGGCCCAUUGAGCCACAUGAUAUUAAAUUCAUUUUUCUAGGGGAGAGGCCCACCGCAGUUGCUUGCUACUGGGGCCUUCGAGCGUCGCCCAUGCUUUGCACUACAGCACGGGCCUGGAGGCACCAUCG